rnacentral:rRNA from 1 species
GACGAACGCUGGCGGCGUGCUUAACACAUGCAAGUCGAACGGUGAAGCGCCGACAUUUUUGGUGGGUGUGGAUGAGUGGCGAAAGGGGGAGUAACACGUGAGUAACCUGACCCCUCCUUCUGGAUAACCGCAAGAAAGUGGGGCUAAUACGGGAUAUUCUGGAUCUGUCGCAUGAUAGGUCUGGGUAAGAUGUUGUUGCGGAGGGGGAUGGGCUCGGGGCCGAUCUGCUUGUGGGUGGGGUGAUGGCCUACCAAGGCGGGGACGGGUGGCCGGCCUGGGAGGGUUGACGGGCCCACUGGGGCGGAGGCACGGCCCCGACUGCUACGGGACGCAGCCGUGGGUACUACGGCACGCUGGGGUGAAGCCUGCUGCAGCGUCGCCGCGUGCGGGAUGGAGGCCUGCGGGUUGAGAACCGCUUUCGCUAGUGAAGCAGGCCUGCCUCGUUUGUGGGUGGGUUGACGGUACCUGGAUAAGAAGCGCCGGCUAACUACGUG